GACGAACGCUGGCGGCGUGCUUAACACAUGCAAGUCGAACGGAAAGGCCCUGCUUUUGUGGGGUGCUCGAGUGGCGAACGGGUGAGUAACACGUGAGUAACCUGCCCUUGACUUUGGGAUAACUUCAGGAAACUGGGGCUAAUACCGGAUAGGAGCUCCUGCUGCAUGGUGGGGGUUGGAAAGUUUCGGCGGUUGGGGAUGGACUCGCGGCUUAUCAGCUUGUUGGUGGGGUAGUGGCUUACCAAGGCUUUGACGGGUAGCCGGCCUGAGAGGGUGACCGGCCACAUUGGGACUGGGAUACGGCCCAGACUGCUACGGGAGGCAGCAGUGGGGAAUAUUGCACAAUGGGCGGAAGCCGGAUGCAGCAACGCCGCGUGCGGGAUGACGGCCGUCGGGUUGUAAACCGCUUUCGCCUGUGACGAAGCGUGAGUGACGGUAAUGGGUAAAGAAGCACCGGCUAACUACGUG
rnacentral:rRNA from 1 species